rnacentral:rRNA from 1 species
UUUGGAUGAGGCUGCGAAGAUUAGGCUGUUGGCGGGGGUAACGGCCCACCAAACCGAUAAUCUUUAGGGGCCAUGUAAGUGGUAGCCCCCAGAAGGACACUGAGACAAGGGUCCUAGUCCUACGGGAUGCAGCAGGCGCGAAAACUUUGCAAUACGCGAAAGCGUGACAAGGAGAUUCUGAGUGGUUCUCAACUGAGAACCUUUUGACGAGUUUAGAUCACUCGUAGAAUAAGUGGUGGGUAAGACCGGUGCCAGCCGCCGCGGUAAUACCGGCACCACAAGUGGUAUCCGCGCAUAUUGGGUCUAAAGCGCUCGUAGUCGGCUGAGAAAGCCAUUGGUGAAAUCCUUGAGCUCAACUUGAGGGUGUGCCAGUGGAACUGUUCAGCUUGGGAGUGGGGGAGGUUAGAAGUACGCUUGGGGUAGGGGUUAAAUCCGUUAAUCCUGGGCGGACUAGCAGUGGCGAAGGCGUCUAACCAAAACACGUCCGACGAUGAGGUGCGAAGGCCAGGGGAGCAAACGGGAUUAGAUACCCCGGUAGUCCUGGCUGUAAAUGAUGUAGAUUUGGUGUUACGUUAGCCUCGAGCUGACGUAGUGCCGUAGCGUAGGUGUUAAAUCUACCACCUGGGGAGUACGGCCGCAAGGCUAAAACUUAAAGGAAUUGGCGGGGGAGCACCACAAGGCGUGGAGGCUGCGGUUUAAUUGGAUUCUACGCCGGGAAUCUUACUGGGAACGACGGCAGAAUGAUAGCCAGGCUGAAGACCUUGCUUGACAAGCCGAGAGGUGGUGCAUGGCCAUCGUCAGCUCGUGGUGUGAACUGUCCGGUUAAGUCCGGCAACGAGCGAGACCCACGUCCUUAGUUGCUAUCUUCAACUCCGGUUGGAGAGCACUCUAAGGAGACCGCCAGCGUUAAGCUGGAGGAAGGAGUGGGCGACGGUAGGUCAGUAUGCCCCGAAUUUCCCAGGCUACACGUGGCCUACAAUGAUUGAAACAAAGGGCUGCAAAUUCGAAAGGGUAAGCUAAUCCCUGAAAUUCAAUCUCAGUGCAGAUCGAGGGCUGCAACUCGCCCUCGUGAAGUUGGAAUGCCUAGUAAUCGUAAGUCAGCAUCUUACGGUGAAUACGUCCAUGCUCCUUGCACACACUGCCCGUCAAGUCACCCAAGUGAGGUUUUAGUGAGGUGGUGGUUCUUGCCAUCGUCGAACUAGG